rnacentral:tRNA from 1 species
GCCGAGGUGGCGGAACUGGCAGACGCGCUGGACUCAAAAUCCAGUGGCCGCAAGGCCAUGCGGGUUCGACCCCCGCCCUCGGCA